UGCCUGGGGAACUCUGUUGGGGCUCCAUGC
rnacentral:piRNA from 1 species